rnacentral:rRNA from 1 species
UACGUAGGGUGCGAGCGUUGUCCGGAAUUAUUGGGCGUAAAGGGCUCGUAGGCGGUUUGUCGCGUCGGGAGUGAAAACUCAGGGCUUAACCCUGAGCCUGCUUCCGAUACGGGCAGACUGGAGGUAUGCAGGGGAGAACGGAAUUCCUGGUGUAGCGGUGAAAUGCGCAGAUAUCAGGAGGAACACCGGUGGCGAAGGCGGUUCUCUGGGCAUUACCUGACGCUGAGGAGCGAAAGUGUGGGGAGCGAACAGG